ACGGCCAUACAAUGCGGUAUAUACCGGUUCUCGUUCUAUCACCGAAGUCAGUCAUCAUCAGGGGCGGUCAGCACUUGGGAGGGUGACCACCUGGGAACACCGCGUAGC